rnacentral:rRNA from 1 species
UAUGGUUGUGUGCCAGCCGCCGCGGUAAUACGGAAGGUCCGGGCGUUAUCCGGAUUUAUUGGGUUUAAAGGGAGCGUAGGCCGGAGAUUAAGCGUGUUGUGAAAUGUAGACGCUCAACGUCUGCACUGCAGCGCGAACUGGUUUCCUUGAGUACGCACAAAGUGGGCGGAAUUCGUGGUGUAGCGGUGAAAUGCUUAGAUAUCACGAAGAACUCCGAUUGCGAAGGCAGCUCACUGGAGCGCAACUGACGCUGAAGCUCGAAAGUGCGGGUAUCGAACAGG